UCCAUGUUCUGGUUUUUCAUGGAGUCCAGGUCAAUCUCCAAGGUCUGGAGGUUGCGUCUCAGCUCCAAGAGGGUGGUCUCAGUGUCCCUGAUUUCAGCAGACUUGGUGGUGACUACUGUGGUACUCUCCUCAAUCUGAUGAGACCAGUACUUUUCCAGUUCCUCACAGUUCUCCUCACGGUUCUUCUGAGCCAGUUCUUCAUACUGGGCAUGGAUGUCCACCAUGAUUGUGCUGAGGUCCUGAGAUUUGGGAGCAUCCAUUUCCACAGUCAACCCAGAUCUGGCAAUCUGGGCUUCCAGACCUUGGACUUCCUCCUCAUGAUUCUUCUUCAUGA
rnacentral:lncRNA from 1 species